CGGCGAGUGAAGCGGCAACAGCUCAAAUUUGAAAUCUGGCCCCCGGGUCCGAGUUGUAAUUUGUAGAGGAUGCUUUUGGUGAGGUACCUUCCGAGUUCCCUGGAACGGGACGCCAUAGAGGGUGAGAGCCCCGUCUGGUCGGAUACCGAUCCUCUGUAAAGCUCCUUCGACGAGUCGAGUAGUUUGGGAAUGCUGCUCUAAAUGGGAGGUAUAUGUCUUCUAAAGCUAAAUAUAGGCCAGAGACCGAUAGCGCACAAGUAGAGUGAUCGAAAGAUGAAAAGCACUUUGAAAAGAGGGUUAAACAGUACGUGAAAUUGUUGAAAGGGAAGCGCUUGUGACCAGACUUGGGCCCGGUUAAUCAUCCAGCGUUCUCGCUGGUGCACUUGGCCGGCCCAGGCCAGCAUCAGUUCGGCGUGGGGGAUAAAGGCGGCGGGAAUGUGGCUCCUCCGGGAGUGUUAUAGCCCACCGUGUAAUACCCUGUGC
rnacentral:rRNA from 1 species